rnacentral:tRNA from 1 species
CCGUAGCUCAACUGGUAGAGCACCGGUCUCCAAAACCGGGGGUUGGGGGUUCGAGUCCCUCCGG